UCGCGCCAAGCAGACGCCCCAAACCGGGCGAGACGGAGAAGAAGACCCCGCCGUCUGGAGCAGGAGGAGGAGGAGCAGGAGGAGAGGCGCAGAUUUUAGGAUUUGAAGUCCCUAUGGUCAGGGAUUCUGGGAUCUGAUGUCCAAAGUAUCUAAUGAGUCAAAGGUUGUGAACUACCAACACAAGAUGACAGUCCUUGCCCUGAAGAUCUUAAAAAUUAAAAUUCACAGGAGAACCAACUGAAGAGGAUAUAGUCUUUGACUCAGGACAUGAGGUAGCUGGAGCAGGCUUAAUGGUUGGAUCCAGAGAACAGCGAAUGACACCCUACCCUGAAGCCCUUCCAUCAACAACAGAACAAUACACAGAUUAACAUGAAAUUCCUCCCUACCCAGGUUAACACAGUGUGUGUGUGUGUGUGUCUCCAGCUCUCUUCUAUGCCAACAUUCUCUGAAG